CAGAAAAAAAAAAGGGGGGGGAAAUAAGUGAAAAUUUCAAAUACGACUCAAGGGCUGGGGACACAGCUCAGCCUGUCAAAGUACCAACUGGGGCACCAGCGGUGUAGGUUCAGGCCCCAGCACCACCUUACUCCAGAGUUGGGCUGUGCCCUGGUCUCUCCGUCCUCUCUCAUUCUCAGUCUUGUAAUAAAUGAAUCUGUGUUCAAGGGUUUGUAACGCAGUUUAAAAAGACACCAAGAGAAGGGGGAGGGGGAACAGGCCUUUUACUCCCCAGAAUCUCACUCACAGUAGGUGCACAGAAGGUGCUGCCUUUGGGAACAGGUGAGGUGGAGGAAGGGGGGGAGGGAAGAGGUGAACCACCCAGAAAGCCAGAGCAGGAGCUGGGCACCCAGGGCACUCUGGAGAGUGGCAGGAACCCCAGGGAACCACAGCAUGGGUCCCUCCCCUUCAGGUCCUGCAGUACCCUCGGGUGUGGGCGCACGGGGGCCGGGCUCUCUACCCUUCUGGCUGUGGCCUGUGUGUCCGCCCCCAGGUCUGGAAGGAAACGCGGCACUCAAGAGCUUCGUCCCCAGAAGCUCGCUUGGAUUUACUGCUGCUGAAAUCAGAAGAAGGGAGCUAAUUCCUCCCAAAGUGAACUGCCCCACUGGGCUGGCCCAGUAAAUAACCUUAGUGGUAAUGGGAGAAAAGCCACGAGGAGCUGACAUGCCUAAGUGAUCACCAGAGAUGGAAGGAGAGAGGAGAGAGAUGUCAGCAUUGAUCCACCAUUGAUGGAGCUUCCCCCAGUGCCAUCCUUGAUGCUCCCCUGUGGUGCUGGGGGUGGAACCCAGGGCCUUGUAGAUGGUAAGUUCCCUCCCAUAGGUUUGGAGCCUCUUCUGAGGAUAGACAGUGCUGGCUCAUGAGACAACACCCAGAUCACCCACACAGUCAGUUUCCAGAAAGAGCUGUCUAGGUGCUCCAGCAGUUCCACACCUGAGAUGUGACCAGCAGAGCCACAAAGAUGAGGAAGAUGUGGCUGGGUGGAGAACACACUGGAGCAGCCACACUGGAAGACAACCCAGCAGGAUCUACCAAUGUCAGCGAUGUCCUUGUGCUGCCAGCCAACAAUUCCAUUGCAUUUCUACCACAGUUUAAAAAAAAAGGACUAAGGAAAUAUGUAGGUGUUGAUUGAAACACUUCAUGUGAGGGGACGGUUGUGCACUGGGUUAAGCACACACACUGUAGUGAUGCAGUAAUGUGCAAGGAUGCAGGUUCAAGCCCCUGAUGCCCACUGCAGAGGGAAAGCUUCACGAAUGGUGAAGCAGGGUUACAGGUCUCUCUCCCUCUCCCUCUCCCUCUCCCUCUCCCUCUCCCUCUCCCUC